rnacentral:rRNA from 1 species
CCUACGGGGGGCUGCAGUGGGGAAUAUUGGACAAUGGGGGAACCCUGAUCCAGCCAUGCCGCGUGUGUGAAGAAGGCCCUCGGGUUGUAAAGCACUUUCAGUGAGGAAGAACGCCUGGUGGUUAAUACCCAUCAGGAAAGACAUCACUCACAGAAGAAGCACCGGCUAACUCCGUGCCAGCAGCCGCGGUAAUACGGAGGGUGCGAGCGUUAAUCGGAAUUACUGGGCGUAAAGCGCGCGUAGGUGGCUUGAUAAGCCGGUUGUGAAAGCCCCGGGCUCAACCUGGGAACGGCAUCCGGAACUGUCAAGCUAGAGUGCAGGAGAGGAAGGUAGAAUUCCCGGUGUAGCGGUGAAAUGCGUAGAGAUCGGGAGGAAUACCAGUGGCGAAGGCGGCCUUCUGGACUGACACUGACACUGAGGUGCGAAAGCGUGGGUAGCAAACAGGAUUAGAUACCCCGGUAGUC